CAAACACGACUCUUAGUUUUUUCUUCUGGCUUUAACAUUUUCUUUCUAAAUAAUAUGUGUGGCAAAUUAUAUUUUUCAAUGUGGCCACAAUUAGAUCUCCAUCUCAUGUGCUCUUCUGGCACUGUAACUUUGACACUUCUCCCACUGAGAGGUGGUGUUUAUGUUUCUUCUCCUUGAAGAAGGUGGGCCUGUGACUAUGGUGAAAUGACACUUUGUGACUUCGGUGACUAGGUCAUAAAAAAAUAAUUCAGCCUCCACAUGAGGGACAAAUGCCUAUGGAAUCUUGAGCUACCACAUUAAAAAGUUUGAGGCCACUAAUCUGUAAAGUAGUUCAUGGAGCAUAGAGAGGCCAUGUGUAGGUGUUUUUCAGCCAGCAGCCCCAGUUGAGGUCCCAGCCAACUGGCAGAAUCAGCUCCAUACAUAACACAUCCUUCGUGUUAAAAAGAUGUUCUGUAGCAGAGGACAGGAUGAUGACAACCCUGAAUAAGCUUUCUCUGCAGUCCAGGUGGGAGUAGGCGGAGUCGGUUAUGUUCGGAGCCGAGGAGAAAGUGCAGGCCGAGGGAGAAGGUUAUCGGAGAAGAAGAUACAGCAAGAAGGCAGAGAUACAUGAACCAGGACCUUAGAGAGAACUGUCACCAAGAACCCAACCAUACUGGCCCCCUGAUCUUGAACUUCCAGCCUCCAGA